AGAGUUUGAUCAGUGGCUACAGGAACGAACGCUGGCGGCAUGCCUAACACAUGCAAGUCGAACGAAGCCUUCGGGCUUAGUGGCGCACGGGUGCGUAACGCGUGGGAAUCUGCCCCUCGGUUCGGAAUAACAGUUAGAAAUGACUGCUAAUACCGGAUGAUGACGAAAGUCCAAAGAUUUAUCGCCGAGGGAUGAGCCCGCGUAGGAUUAGUUUGUUGGUGGGGUAAUGGCCCACCAAGGCGACGAUCCUUAGCUGGUCUGAGAGGAUGAUCAGCCACACUGGGACUGAGACACGGCCCAGACUCCUACGGGAGGCAGCAGUGGGGAAUAUUGGACAAUGGGCGAAAGCCUGAUCCAGCAAUGCCGCGUGAGUGAUGAAGGCCUUAGGGUUGUAAAGCUCUUUUACCAGGGAUGAUAAUGACAGUACCUGGAGAAUAAGCUCCGGCUAACUCCGUG
rnacentral:rRNA from 1 species